CUUGAGUUUUAUUUCAACGCUAAGCAAGGCAGUAAUCCCAUGAAUCCGAUAAACUUUACUCAAGAUACUGCACUCAUAGAUUUCCAGGAAGAGACUACACGAUAUACUGCUGUUCUAACUACAGUUCUAGACGGAGACAGUUGUGGACUUCAUCUAAACUUGAAAACUGAAUCAAGUCCUAAACCAACACAGGGGAAUAAACCUCUGACUCUGGAAAAACCCGGUCCGAAAUCCACCAAGUCCAUCCUGCCGAAUUUACCGGAAAUGAUGAGUGACGAGGAAUCUCAGAAAUCUGCCAGGAAGUCUGCUGUUCUGAUUGCUAAAAUGCGAGAUGGUUCUUACAAGGCUGAGGUGCUGGUUAACUUGGACGAGACUGGGUCAGGGUUCACGAGUGGGAACUUGUUCAAGGGGAAGCAAAUUGAUCUCGAGUUCGUCAAGGUGUUGGUUGUUAUAGACGCAAGACCGAGUUUAAAGGUCUCGGUGAUCUCUCACAAACAGUUUGUGGAAUAUGUUGGAAUUCGAGAUAUACCAACCAGAGAAUGUCUGGAGGAAUCUGGGAUUGGACGAGAGUUUGAAUUCCGUGUGGAUAAUUAUACUAUUGAGAGUGCAGAGGGUGAAAUCUGUAAAGCACUCAAGUUGAAGAUUUGCCAUGCCUGGUUUGUGAGUGAUGAUAAUCUAUGCCGGAAGCGAGACACCAAGGAUAACCCGGAUAUACAAACAGAACUAUCUGCAUAUCUGAGAAACGAUGCUAUUUACAAAACAUUAACAAAGGUUGUGGAGGAUCUAACAGAGAGUCAAGGAAGACCUGGAUAUACAGGAAAGGGAGCUGAUGAAACCGACAGGUUCUUGAUGGCUCUGGGAGAUCUACAGAAGAAGUACAAGACUUCUCGCUUCUGGAUUAUGCUGGAGAGAGAGUUCAAGUGUGAGAAUGACAAGCUGGUGUCCUCUGUGUGCAAAUAUGAAUCUGGAACUGGUCAACUCAGAUACUGUGGAACUAUUUGUCUAGGGAUGACAGAUGAUCUGAUCCUGAAACCCUCUGAGGAAUUCUUCAACAUGAUUCUAUACAACAGUGAUCCUAACUCCCAGGUCUACCUCAGAAGGUUUUUGAACCCGCUGAAUGUGACCAAGGUGAACCGUAACGAUGAUGUUGAAGGGAUAAACAACUUUGACAUCUUCGUCAUCCAGGAGGGCGCCAAAACUCCAGAAGAAGCAAUCCUUGAUUAUGACAAGUUUAUUACUCAGAAGAUUAAUGAGUUUACCGUGACCUUCAGGCCCAAGUCUGGUUCUGAUGAUGAAAAGAUUGAUAUUUCUGUUGAUAAAACUCAAGGAAUUUCUCAGCUGAAGAACCAGCUGAUGCAAGGACUGCAGGUUCCUGAAGGUUCAAAUAUCACGCUCUGGGAAUGCCUCAGCUCCGAGUCUACUUCCUCAAAUCCUCUCAAGAAACGAGCUUUCAGGAAACCGCUGGAUUAUCCUAUCUCGAACGAAGACGACAGGAUGGUGAAGGAUCUCUUCUCGAACUGCGAAGACGGGUCAAGAUGUCUGUACUAUCAGUUUUAAAUCCAUCAUUACAGGCCACGUUAGGAGAUUACUUGGAGGGGCUAUGGGUGCUCCCUCCCCCCUUCCUCUGUACUGGCACCAUGUUAAUUUACCCAGUACUCUUGAAUUCAGUAUUUGAAUUUGUAAUGUGCCCAACAUUAAUUUGUUGUUGUUUAGUUUUGUACCAGCUUGUACCCUAUCCCAAAGGUAUGUUUCGAAUUUGAUGUGUGAGAUUUGAAUCCCGUUGCGCGUUUUUCGUUUAUUUUUGAGCAUUUAUAUAACUCUGUACUUAUGUAACCUUACUUUCUGUGUACACUGUAACAAUGUACAGUUAAGUAGUAUAACGAUGAUCAAUAAGAAUUUUACCGAAUUAUCCAAGUUGUCUAAUUUCUUUUAAAUCCUAAAAUAUUUUUUUAUUGUCAUGCAUAGUAAAUCCACCAUGUUUAAUAUGUUCUCGAUCAG
rnacentral:misc_RNA from 1 species